rnacentral:rRNA from 1 species
UCCGCCCNUGUGGGCCGCGGCCGUUUACACAUGCAACCGUCGAACGAAGUAGCAAUACUUAGUGGCAGACGGGUGAGUAACAUGUGGGUAUCUACCCUUUGGCCUGGAAUAACACGAGGAAACUUGUGCUAAUACUGGAUAAGUCUUUACAGAGAAAGCUUUAUGCACCAUUGGAUGAGCCCGCACUUGAUUAGUUUGUUGGUAGGGUAAUGGCCUACCAAGACUAUGAUCAAUAGCUGAUUUGAGAGGAUGAUCAGCCACAUUGGGACUGAGA